rnacentral:rRNA from 1 species
UACGGAGGGUGCAAGCGUUAAUCGGAAUUACUGGGCGUAAAGCGUGCGCAGGCGGUUUGUUAAGUCCGUUGUGAAAGCCCCGAGCUCAACUUGGGAAUUGCAGUGGAUACUGGCAGGCUGGAGUACGGUAGAGGAAGGUGGAAUUCCCGGUGUAGCAGUGAAAUGCGUAGAUAUCGGGAGGAACACCAGUGGCGAAGGCGGCCUUCUGGACCAGUACUGACGCUCAUGCACGGAAGCGUGGGGAGCAAACAGG